UUAAGCGACUAAGCGUACACGGUGGAUGCCCUGGCAGUCAGAGGCGAUGAAGGACGUGCUAAUCUGCGAUAAGCGUCGGUAAGGUGAUAUGAACCGUUAUAACCGGCGAUUUCCGAAUGGGGAAACCCAGUGUGUUUCGACACACUAUCAUUAACUGAAUCCAUAGGUUAAUGAGGCGAACCGGGGGAACUGAAACAUCUAAGUACCCCGAGGAAAAGAAAUCAACCGAGAUUCCCCCAGUAGCGGCGAGCGAACGGGGAGGAGCCCAGAGCCUGAAUCAGUGUGUGUGUUAGUGGAAGCGUCUGGAAAGGCGCGCGAUACAGGGUGACAGCCCCGUACACAAAAAUACACAUAUUGUGAGCUCGAUGAGUAGGGCGGGACACGUGGUAUCCUGUCUGAAUAUGGGGGGACCAUCCUCCAAGGCUAAAUACUCCUGACUGACCGAUAGUGAACCAGUACCGUGAGGGAAAGGCGAAAAGAACCCCGGCGAGGGGAGUGAAAAAGAACCUGAAACCGUGUACGUACAAGCAGUGGGAGCACGCUUAGGCGUGUGACUGCGUACCUUUUGUAUAAUGGGUCAGCGACUUAUAUUCUGUAGCAAGGUUAACCGAAUAGGGGAGCCGAAGGGAAACCGAGUCUUAACUGGGCGUUAAGUUGCAGGGUAUAGACCCGAAACCCGGUGAUCUAGCCAUGGGCAGGUUGAAGGUUGGGUAACACUAACUGGAGGACCGAACCGACUAAUGUUGAAAAAUUAGCGGAUGACUUGUGGCUGGGGGUGAAAGGCCAAUCAAACCGGGAGAUAGCUGGUUCUCCCCGAAAGCUAUUUAGGUAGCGCCUCGUGAAUUCAUCUCCGGGGGUAGAGCACUGUUUCGGCAAGGGGUCAUCCCGACUUACCAACCCGAUGCAAACUGCGAAUACCGGAGAAUGUUAUCACGGGAGACACACGGCGGGUGCUAACGUCCGUCGUGAAGAGGGAAACAACCCAGACCGCCAGCUAAGGUCCCAAAGUCAUGGUUAAGUGGGAAACGAUGUGGGAAGGCCCAGACAGCCAGGAUGUUGGCUUAGAAGCAGCCAUCAUUUAAAGAAAGCGUAAUAGCUCACUGGUCGAGUCGGCCUGCGCGGAAGAUGUAACGGGGCUAAACCAUGCACCGAAGCUGCGGCAGCGACGCUUAUGCGUUGUUGGGUAGGGGAGCGUUCUGUAAGCCUGCGAAGGUGUGCUGUGAGGCAUGCUGGAGGUAUCAGAAGUGCGAAUGCUGACAUAAGUAACGAUAAAGCGGGUGAAAAGCCCGCUCGCCGGAAGACCAAGGGUUCCUGUCCAACGUUAAUCGGGGCAGGGUGAGUCGACCCCUAAGGCGAGGCCGAAAGGCGUAGUCGAUGGGAAACAGGUUAAUAUUCCUGUACUUGGUGUUACUGCGAAGGGGGGACGGAGAAGGCUAUGUUGGCCGGGCGACGGUUGUCCCGGUUUAAGCGUGUAGGCUGGUUUUCCAGGCAAAUCCGGAAAAUCAAGGCUGAGGCGUGAUGACGAGGCACUACGGUGCUGAAGCAACAAAUGCCCUGCUUCCAGGAAAAGCCUCUAAGCAUCAGGUAACAUCAAAUCGUACCCCAAACCGACACAGGUGGUCAGGUAGAGAAUACCAAGGCGCUUGAGAGAACUCGGGUGAAGGAACUAGGCAAAAUGGUGCCGUAACUUCGGGAGAAGGCACGCUGAUAUGUAGGUGAAGUCCCUUGCGGAUGGAGCUGAAAUCAGUCGAAGAUACCAGCUGGCUGCAACUGUUUAUUAAAAACACAGCACUGUGCAAACACGAAAGUGGACGUAUACGGUGUGACGCCUGCCCGGUGCCGGAAGGUUAAUUGAUGGGGUCAGCGCAAGCGAAGCUCUUGAUCGAAGCCCCGGUAAACGGCGGCCGUAACUAUAACGGUCCUAAGGUAGCGAAAUUCCUUGUCGGGUAAGUUCCGACCUGCACGAAUGGCGUAAUGAUGGCCAGGCUGUCUCCACCCGAGACUCAGUGAAAUUGAACUCGCUGUGAAGAUGCAGUGUACCCGCGGCAAGACGGAAAGACCCCGUGAACCUUUACUAUAGCUUGACACUGAACAUUGAGCCUUGAUGUGUAGGAUAGGUGGGAGGCUUUGAAGUGUGGACGCCAGUCUGCAUGGAGCCGGCCUUGAAAUACCACCCUUUAAUGUUUGAUGUUCUAACGUGGACCCGUGAUCCGGGUUGCGGACAGUGUCUGGUGGGUAGUUUGACUGGGGCGGUCUCCUCCUAAAGAGUAACGGAGGAGCACGAAGGUUGGCUAAUCCUGGUCGGACAUCAGGAGGUUAGUGCAAUGGCAUAAGCCAGCUUGACUGCGAGCGUGACGGCGCGAGCAGGUGCGAAAGCAGGUCAUAGUGAUCCGGUGGUUCUGAAUGGAAGGGCCAUCGCUCAACGGAUAAAAGGUACUCCGGGGAUAACAGGCUGAUACCGCCCAAGAGUUCAUAUCGACGGCGGUGUUUGGCACCUCGAUGUCGGCUCAUCACAUCCUGGGGCUGAAGUAGGUCCCAAGGGUAUGGCUGUUCGCCAUUUAAAGUGGUACGCGAGCUGGGUUUAGAACGUCGUGAGACAGUUCGGUCCCUAUCUGCCGUGGGCGCUGGAGAACUGAGGGGGGCUGCUCCUAGUACGAGAGGACCGGAGUGGACGCAUCACUGGUGUUCGGGUUGUCAUGCCAAUGGCACUGCCCGGUAGCUAAAUGCGGAAGAGAUAAGUGCUGAAAGCAUCUAAGCACGAAACUUGCCCCGAGAUGAGUUCUCCCUGACCCUUUAAGGGUCCUGAAGGAACGUUGAAGACGACGACGUUGAUAGGCCGGGUGUGUAAGCGCAGCGAUGCGUUGAGCUAACCGGUACUAAUGAACCGUGAGGCUUAACCUU
rnacentral:rRNA from 1 species